AUGAAUCUAUUCUUGUUAAAACAGUUGAGACUUGUGAAGUAGUGAUCAUUUAUGUUGAGACGGCAUUCUACAAAAGAAACGCACAGAAAACAAAAGCUGAAGAGGAGAGUCAUGUGGUAUAUGCACCAACCAAAAUCGGAUGAUGAUCAAACUUUAAUAUUGUUCUAAGUACAAGACUCUUAUUGUCUUAUGAUUUUCAUUGGGAAUCUCCUGCCAUGACUUCAGACACUGUGGUCUUAUGGAUGAUCAUUUUCACUGCAGCUUUUCAUGUUUGCAAAACAUAGAUGCAAACUAUCCAUCCAGAGGUGAUAAAGUAAACUCUGCUGUGGUACGGAUUAUUUAUAUCUGUACAGAAAUGUGGUUUGAUCGGUGCAUGAGAAUGUGUCUACUGCUGGAUGCUUGCAUUUGAUGUCAGUUUGUUAGUGUGUGUCUGAGGUGUUAAAAGUGUCUGUUUGCGUGUGUAUCUGUGCAAGUGUGUGUCUAAGGUGUCAACAAUACAUCUGUAUGAGCGAGUGCCGUGCGAGUGUGUCGUGCGAGUGUGUAUGAGGUGUCAAUAGUGUGACUGUGAGUGUGUAUGAGGUGUCAGUCUGAGUGAUCACCAUGUCGUAGCAUGGAUUUUCCAUUUAUGUUCGUAUGAAACAGUUUACUUCUGCACUACAGGAAAGCCAUGUUACUUUAAAAUGGCAAAAAAAAGUGUCUCAAAUAAAGUGAUAUUAAUAUAAAAAAAACUUUACUUUGUGUGCUUGAUCAUUUUAUACAGUCAUCCUGCAGUUAGACAGAAUCUCUCAGAAAAACGCACAAAACUACCUUUUCAAAAAAUAAACCUUUGUAUCUUAUUAACCCCUAAGGGUGCAUAUUAGUAUCUAAAUUGGCAAAAGAGUAACACACAAGUGAGAACUUGAACCUUUUUUUGUAGUUUCAAUUAUAAGAAGAACUAUUCUUGAUCCCUUUUUUAUAACGGUUAUAUCCCAUUUUUCUCUGCCAUUUAAUUAAAUAAUAAAUGCAAUGUAUGAUUUACAAUUUAUGAUUAGUGAUUGAGGGGGUUAAUCAUUUAUUUUGUUUGCAGCAGCUUUGAUGAGAAACUAACAAACUAGUUUGUUUUUUCAGCAGCAUAACAGAACUCUACUCUACAGGUA